ACUGUUGUAGCUUAAUGGAUAAAGCUGUACACUUUUAAUGUAUAGAUUGAGGGUUCAAGUCCCUCCAACAGUA